GACGAACGCUGGCGGCGUGCUUAACACAUGCAAGUCGAACGGAAAGGCCCUGCUUUUGUGGGGUGCUCGAGUGGCGAACGGGUGAGUAACACGUGAGUAACCUGCCCUUGACUUUGGGAUAACUUCAGGAAACUGGGGCUAAUACCGGAUAGGAGCUCCUGCUGCAUGGGGGGGGUUGGAAAGUUUCGGCGGUUGGGGAUGGACUCGCGGCUUAUCCGCUUGUUGGUGGGGUAGUGGCUUACCAGGGCUUUGACGGGUAGCCGGCCUGAGAGGGUGACCGGCGACAUUGGGACUGAGAUACGGCCCAGACUCCUACGGGAGGCAGCAGGGGGGAAUAUUGCACAAUGGGCGGAAGCCUGAUGCAGCAACGCCGCGUGCGUGAUGACGUCCUUCGGGUUGUAAACCGCUUUCGCCUGUGACGAAGAGUGAGUGACGGUAAUGGGUAAAGAAGCACCGGCUAACUACGUG
rnacentral:rRNA from 1 species